UCCCCCGUAGAGCGUGAGGCGAGGCGUGGCCGGCGGGCGGCCGGGCGGUGGAGGAGUAGGCUGGGUGUGAUGCCCGCGGUUUCGGUUGGAUUCGUCUCCUGCGCGGUCCCACGAGAGGCUCUGGGAAGGGGAGGGGAAGGCACGUAACCUGCUGCGCUAGCGACCACCCGUCCCUCACUACCUCGGCCCUGAUCUCCUUCCCGGUCUCUCGCCAGCGCCACUGGGUGGGGCCUGUCGGGGGCCGCCUGGCCCACCUUCAGUAGUCAAGCCGGGAGUGGAUACGUGCUCAUCCCCGGGGAAGCCCAGAGGACGGGACGAGCCACGGGCAGAAGAGGGUUCUGCAGAAGCUCGGAUACGCGAGCCUCUGCCGAAAUAUUGAACCCAACCAAUCACAUCAAGCAUUUAUUAAGCACCUACUGUGUUAGGCAGAGAGCACCGUAGAACUGAAGGUGAAAAGAAACUUAGAUCUCACUUAGGUAGUUGGUGGCAGAGACAAGACUAGAACACGGUUUUCUUGGUUCCCUGAUUGGCACUCACUCUCAUGUACUCCUUGCUUCGUGGAUUUAACCUGCGACUCAAGUAAAGCGGCACUAGCAAUGCAAAUCAGUACGCAGGAAGUACCAAGUGACCACUUCAAACAGUAAGACUUCUUGAAAUAUAUUCUUUUCCGAAAUGAAGGCUUCCCUGAGGAGGGUACCUUCCGUUGAAUCUGGAGAGAUAUUACGUCAUCCUCUGAGUCUUACAGAUUGCAGAUUCCUGAAGGACAAGGACGGCAAGCAUCUUGCUCUCAGUUGUUUCCCUACAACCUAAGAUUAAAAAAUACCACGUAAUUGAAGAAGUGUGAGAUACAGCACUUGUAUGGCAGAAAAAGGCUGUAUGUGUAUCAAAGGUCUGCAAGCAUUCUACGUAGCUUUGCCCCCAUCCUUCCAGUUUGUAGUUACCCUCAGUACAACUAUUGAGUAUCUUGUCAACAUCCAAUCUCUAUAUGUGCUCAUCCUCGUGGAACUAAGUUGCAGUGAGUAUUACUACAUCUUAAAGAAGGAUCCAGUUAUUUGCAACUGAUUAAAUGAGAUAACCUAAGUACAAAAUGUAAAGAACAAAUGUGUGGGGUUACUUUUGUUGUAAAUGAAGAAACCCAACACCAGCUGGAUUUUUAUCUCAAUACAAUGAAAUUUGAUAUUUUAAAUGAACUUAUGUUGAAGAUGUAUCCACCUGCCUCUACACACACACACACACACACACACACACACACACACACACACACACACACAGAGUCCUCAUUCACAUGGUAAUUUUUAUUAAGAUAAAAAAUGUUUAAUAUCUGAUAGGAAAUGCUGGAGACAAGAAUAUAGCAUAUACAAGAAAAAAGAAUUAAUUUCAGCAAAUAUUUAUCAGGUAUCUGUUACGUGCCUAUCAUAAAAGCAUUGGCUUUUCAUGGUGGAAAGUGCUCAUUCCAUGGCCAAAAUCACUCAAGAAAAUAAAACGUACAAAUAGGUUUUUUAGUUUAAAGAUAAUGACAUUGUGAGAGAAGCUGGCUCUGGUUGAGAGAAAAACAUUUGGAGAAAACAAGUUAUAUUUCUCAUCGUUCUCCAGGCAUCUGAUAAUUAAUAUUAUAUUUCUUGUCUGUACAUUUCAAAGCAUAAAGAAUUACUGGACAAUUUAUCAUUGGAUAGUUAAUCCAAUGAUUGUUCAAAUACUACUUGGAAAAUUAUGCAGUGCAAUGAGCACUCCCAUAAAGGCAUUUAAAUGGUAUCUGAGAUCUCCAUAUUUUGGAAAAAACUAAACGGGCCAAUGUCUAAACCCUGGAAGAACAAUGGACAAAUUAUUUAAAGUUCUAUUGUGAGAGGGAUAACUUGGUAGUCAGAUGUCAACAAUAGGGCCUUAUGCCUUGAUUAUAAUUGUCUGUGUGUGACAAUAUUGACUGAGCCAGGCGGCUGCUAGGCAGGAUAAGUGUAUGAAGGUAUAAUACUCUUAGAAAAUUUCAACCUUAUUAGCAUAAUUGCUCUGAUGAAGACUGAAGAGCUUAUUUAACAUAACUGACUAGAGUAGACAAUGGAUGCAUAAUCAGUGUCCUAAUGAUUGAAUUAAUGAGCCCCAAUUGUUUGUCCUUACUGUAAGGAGUCCUCAGCUAUGAAAAAGACAUUUUGCUGAAAGAGUCUGACAAUUGUGUUAGCUGAUGAGUGGUCAGAAUGUAAUUAAUGAUGGGAGAGAGACAAUUACUACUGGGUUCUAAAGACAUCAAUGGUGGCUUUCAAGGGGUGAAUUAUAUAGCUACAUAGAAGUUUCAUAUCAGCUCCUCCUUGCCUUCAUACAGUAAUGGAGCCUGAUCAAUGCUCUUAUUUUGCAGCUAAAGAAAACGAGUCCCAGGCUUUUCCAAAGACCCGUGACCACUUUGUGUCAGGGGUUAUACACAUAGUGUCUUACCUUUCCUGCUCUGAUACUGCCCACUGACUCUUUGACCUGUCCCUGAUCUACAGCCUCACCUAUGCCUUUGCUAGUCUCUUCAAUCUCCCUUUUACCUUCUACGCAUAUGUCCUGACCAACUAUUUCACAGUUAAAAUGGGGCAAAUUUCCUCUCUCCACCUAAACCCCAACACUAGACAAAUGUGUCUAGCUCCACAUCUAUUCUCCCAGCCACUUCCUGUGGAAGACCUGCUCCUCCUUCUGGAAAAGGCUUUUUCAUCUACCUAGUCUCUGUUCCCUUGACCACCCAGUCUACAUUAGAACCGCCCGCUCCACACACACAUACCAGUCACACUAUCAUAUCACCUUUUAAAAAUUUUCUUUAAAACUCUAUCAUUAUCUAGAAUUAUCAUAUCCACUAUUUCUGUACUGUGACUUAUUAUUUGUCACUUCUCCCUGCUGAUUGUAAACUCUUUAAGAGCAGGAAACAUGUCUGUUUUGUUCACCAGAAUAUUCCUACUGAAGCAUGUCUAUUUCGUUCACCAUAUUAUCCCUACUUCAAGCAUACCUGGAGGUACUCAAUACAUAUUUUUGAAUGGAUCGAUAAUUUUCCCUCAAACUCAAAGCAUGUGAAAAAUAAACUCAUCAUCUUCUGUUUUCCUUUCUGGGUGUGUUUUAGCCCAGUUCCCUAGAAAACAGACCCUGAUGCAAGGAUGCUGAUCCUUUCUUUAGGAGAUAUUAUCCCAGGGCAGGAACAGGGAAAAGGCAAGGAAGAAUGGAGAGCUAUGCACAGGGAUGCAUUACUGUGCUGAACACUGCUUCAUGGAAAGACUUGAGGAGAUAACAGCCAAUCUCUUGACAGGUGCAACCACUUGGCCAGACAGACAAUAUGGAGGACUCAUGCCUUGGAACAAUUCAAGGAAGAGAGGAAUUUUAUCUUUGUCUCCUGUCGCUUUGUCAUUGGUCAAAGCUUGUCCCACAGGGAGCUAACUUUCCCAUACUUUCCAGUUGUGUUAUCCAUAUUCUUUGAUAGUCACUCAGAAAGUAGGUCCCUGCCCUGGAGUUCAGAAGUGGUGGCAAGAAACUGUUGGUAUGUGGCUGGUCAUCCUUGGGCUGUCAAACCACAAGGGACUUAACUAAGUUGCUCAUGGUGGCGGCUGAGACAGGAGCAAGCGUCCCAAAAGGUCUGAGAAGACACGUAAACGGGGCCUAAUGCAGAGUACUUGUUACCACAACAAUGGUAGGAACAGGUCUGUUUCAUUCGCUGCAUUGUAUCAGCACCUCCCACAAUAAGUGAUGAUUAAAUGUUUGUUGAAGGAAUGCGUGCAUAAAUGGCAUCACCAUCUCUUGAUUUAUUUAAGCCAAAAUCUUGGAGUCAUCCGUGAUCGUCCUUCUUAAUUCCUAUAUUGAGGACAAAAAUUCCUCUACCUCCUUAAUAUAUCUCAGAUCUAAUGCCUCUUGUUCAAGCUCACUGCCUCGAUUCAGAACUUUAGCAUCUUUCAUUGUAAUGCUUGCUAUAGCUCCUUAACUGGUCUUCCCGUCUCUGGUCUCCCUCUCCUCCAAUUCUUUCUCUUUCCUGCCAGAAUUUUCUAAAAAUUAUAGUGUGUUUUCUGAAUGCAAAUCUGAUGAUGUCGCUAUGUUGAUUAAACUGAUAGUUUGUUUAAAAGGAUAAAAUGAAGACUCUUUAACGUAACCCAAAAGAUCCUUCACAAUCUGUCGUAGGCUAGUCUCUUUAGCUUUACACCUCACCACUCCCCACCUUGUCCUUAUAUCCCAGCCAGACUGAAUUCCUGGCGUUUUUCCCAAUACACCAUGCUCUCCCAUUCCUCAGUGCCUACGCUGUGCUCUUUGUUCUGCCUGGAAUACAUUUGUGCCUGAGGAACCUCUACUCAUACUUCAGAACACUAUUUCCAGGUAGCUGCCUUCAUCCACUGAUCAGUCCAUCCCCCACCCGCUCACCCAUGCAAGAUUCAUUGUACCUUUCAAGUUUCUUAGUUGCAAGCAGCAGAAGAAACUGACAUUGCUGACUUAAGGAGAAAGGCAAUUUGUGAAAGGAUAUUGGGUGGCUGACAAAAUUGCUGGGAAGUCUGCAAAAACAGGCUCAGACAGUAAGCAAGAACAAGGAAGUCUGGGCAGCAGCUAGGAUCACAACCAACAUCACAGCACAACACAUUGAGGGAGGUGACCACCACCAUUCAAAACAGGAUACCUCAGCUUACACUUCCAGUUCAGUAGCACUGGACACAGGUACCAUCCACCAUUGGCAUUACCAGCACUAUUGCUCCUGGAAACCAGAUGUCACUGCAGUGCCUGUUAUUGCCCCCAGAAUGGAUUCUCCACCAAACCUACUUUGUUUUACUAGGGCUCCCUCUUUGAAGCCUGUGGCAGAUCCAUUAGGUUUACUAAGCUUAACAUACGUUCCUUGCUCUAAUUGCAGGCAGGUCUGGGAAAGUAAGGAGCUGACAGUUUUUGAGACCUAUAUUGUAAAUGGGAUCUGCUUCACUCCAAUAAUCAUUAGAUUACCCCCCAGAAAGGAAAGGGGGUCAGAUUUUGGGAAACCCCAAAUGACAAAUGUUCUCAAAUUUGCUCAACAAAUAAAUUGGCAUCUGCCUGUACUGGAUUCUCUUUGAGGCACUAAGGUUACAAAAUUGACUGAGGUGCCUACAACCCCUGGGAUGUAUGGUCAAAAAGACAAAAAAUAACAAGUGUUGGCAAAGAUGUAGAUAAAUUGAUGGGAGGAAUGUAAAUUAGUGGACUUUGGAAAACAGUCUGGCAGUUCCUCAAAAGAUUAAACAGAGUAACUAUAUGACCCAACAAUUCCACUCCUAGGUGUAUACCCAAGGGAAAUGGCAACAUAUACUCACUUAAAAACAUACACAAUUGUUCAUAGCAGCACUAUUCAUAAGAGCCAAAAAGUGGAAACAAAUCAAAGGCCUGUCAACUGAUGAAUGGACAAAGUGUGGCAUACCCAUGCAAUGGAAUAUUAUUUGGCCAUGAAAAGUAAUGAACCACAUGGAUGAACCUUGAAAGCAUUAUGCUAAGUGAAAGAAGCCAGUCACAAAGGGUCACAUACUGUAUGAUUCCAUCUAUAUGAAACAUCCAGCAUAGGCAAAUCUGAAAAGAUAGAGAGUAAAUUAGUGGUUGGCUAAGUCUGAGAGCAGAGGUGGAUCGGAUAGGGAUUAACUGCUAAUGGGUACAGAGUUUCUUGCUGGAAUAACAAAAUGUUCUAAAAUAGAUUGUGAUGUUGACUGUACAAAUCUGUGAAUAUACUAAAAACUAUUGAAUUGUAUCCUUUAAA